UACGUAGGGGGCUAGCGUUGUCCGGAAUCAUUGGGCGUAAAGAGCGUGUAGGCGGCCCGGUAAGUCCGCUGUAAAAGUCAAAGGCUCAACCUUUGAAUGUCAGUGGAUACUGCCGGGCUAGAGUCCGGAAGAGGCGAGUGGAACUCCUGGUGUAGCGGUGGAAUGCGCAGAUAUCAGGAGGAACACCGGUGGCGAAGGCGGGUCUCUGGGCCGAUACUGACGCU
rnacentral:rRNA from 1 species